GAAGAGCAGCGCACGAGUCACUCGCUUGGAUCACUUUGCUGCCCACGGAGACCCCAGUCUAGCGCGAGUCCAGGAAAAGUGACCACACACCAGAUACUUCAGCCUCAACAGUGGAAGCCCCUCCAGUGUGAAGGAACACGGGGGGCCUGGAAGGACAGCACCAAGUGCAUCGCGACGAUCAGUUAAGCCGACUCGAGUUCCACCUCUCUGCGGCAGAACAAAGGCAGCAGGGUGGGGGCCAGGACCCAUCUGAUGGUUAGAAGGAUGGGCUCCCAGCUCUGACUAGCUGGGUUCGAGUCCCAGCUCUGCCUGUCUCUCCGGGAGAGUUAUCUGACCUCGCCGCUAAGCCUCAGCUUCCUUAUCUCAAGAUAACAAGAUGGUGAUAAUAAGGGGACCUCUCACCUCUGAGUGUUGCGAGGAUUAAAUGAGCUAAUGAAUGCACCGUGCGUUUGCAGGGCAAACAGAACUUUUUCCAAAAGUGUCAGAGACAGUCCAGGAGACCUCCCCUCGCUGGGACUCAGUUUCCUCUCCUGACAAAGGAGGACCUGCUGGCCUUGGCAGAGAGAGGAGCUGAGGGAUCUUUCAUUGAGCAGCAAGGGCAGAGCUCUCCUGCACAGGGUGGCCUCCCUGCCCUUGGAAAUGAUGCAGGGGCCACCUGUCAGGUGACCUCUAGGGCCUUCAGGGACCCGUGUUUAUUUGGUUUUGGUUUUGGUUUAAAUGUAACCACUGCAGCAGACAGAAACAGGACCACGCAUGCUGGUCCUCACAUACACGGCACAUCAGGACUGGAUGUGCAGAGAGCGUGGGUUUGAGGUUCUAAAAUCCUGCAUCAGCAUCAUGCCUCCUGCUGGGCCAGUGGGGCUCAUCUGUAAAUGGGGCUUGUCCUCCCCGUCUCCCAGAGGGCCCGUGAAGAUGACAGAAAAUUAACCCAUGGGCCGUGGGAACGUGCCUGUCACAUCUGGGUGCCUCGUCAAUACUGUCCCCUUCCUCCUUCUGGAGCCUGAGGCCACCAGCCCCCACUGCAGUGAGGAAGAGAGCUGGAGAGAGAGCCCCUGAGGAUGCAAGUGAAUAAGCUCUCUCACUACACUUGAGCUGGAAGGCUGCUGGGGUCCGGGGGAGACCGGCUUCUCCACUGAGACCCUAGAUGGGACAGCGCCCGGGACCCAGGGAGCUAGCACAUCAUGGCAGCCCUAGGGACCCAUUUUCCUAAUGGCCCUCUCAGCGAUGUAGCGAUGCUUUCUGUUAGCUUGUGAGACUUGGCGACCCUUUUCUCUAGAGCUCCCCACCCCUAGCUUCCCAAGGCCUCUGCUAUCUAAGAUCCAAAGUCCCAGAGGAAGACUCUGAGGGGGAGGUUGGCACCAGCGACUCUGUGUGGGCCCCUUCUCUCUGGUGGCUUCCAGGCUGGCCUCCCCGGGCCAGGUGCUCUCAGCCGAGGUCCCAGGGAUGGGAUCACAGGGCACAGGUGCUCAAGGGACAGCAGAGGUGGGCCAAGAGCCUGAAGCUGCACAGCUGGAUGGGGCCGUCAGCUUCAGGGACAGCGGCGUCAGACGUGGGCUUCUUCCCAGGGCUGUGUCCACCCUCCUUUCUCAUUGUCUUGUUCCGGGCAGCUCCACCCCAGGCCAAGCUCCCAAAGCUCAAGGGCUUGUGCUGUUCGAGCCUGGAGCUGUCAUGGCCUGUCUCCCAAAGGGCUUGUUUCCGUAUGAAAGAGUCAUCACAGGUCUGGUGCUUGCAGGUGGUACUGAGGUUUGGUAGCCACGUCAGACCUAACAAUACGUACCAAUGAGCAGAGGGUGAGAUGCUGCUGUGGCCCGGCCUGCGGGGAGCAGGCUUCCUGUGUUUAGCAGUCUGUUUCUGAGCUGUCUUGUUUACAAUCACAUCCACCCUGGUGUGGUGACACCUGUCCCUCAUUCUUGCUGCUGGGGGCUGGGAGGCGUGAAUAACUGACAGUCACAGCCCCGCGGAAUCAUCCCCAGUCACCGCGACCCAGAAGAUGCUCCGGUUGUUGUACUGAAUCAGCAGGGAGGACUGUCCCCGUACUGGGGACAAGGCUGCCCCCUGUGAGGAGAGGGGCCCAGGGCAGGCUGGGAUCGGACCUGGUGCCAGUCACCUGAGGAGAAGGUGUGCCUCUCACAUUAGAAACAGCUGAGCUCCCAGGAGGAUGCCUACCCCUGGAGUCUUGACCUGAAGUCCCAUCUGUGGGUGUUAACUUUCCUCCUUCAUUUAGGACCUUGUUCUUCAAACUUUGAGACCAUUGGAACACCUCGGGUACUUGUUAAAAAGGCAGGUUCCCAUGGCCCCAACCCCAGAGGCUCUGAACCUACAGCUCUGAGGUGGGACUCAGGGGUCUUUUAUUUCGACAAGCCCCCCUCCAAGUAGUUGCUCCAGAUGACCGAGGACCAUAUCUAAGGAAAUCUGGUCUAAGAGGAAGGUUUUGGCAUCAGGUACACUUGGAUUCGCAAUCUGGCUCUGCCACUUGCUGGCUGUGUGGCUUUUGGCAAGCCCUUUCAUGUCUUUGUGCCUCAGUUUUCUCUUCUGAGAAAUGGGAACAAUAAUAUGAACCUCACUGGGGCAUUAGGAAGAAUAAAUGAAAUAAAUAAGGUGCUGCUCUCAAUGCCUGGGAAGGAUAGGCAAGGAUGACGGAGCCUGAGUGAAAACUCACUUGCAGAACCGGGCUUGUCAAGAGAGACGCUGCCAAAACAAAAGGUCAUUCUCGUGUCCUGAAGACACACUGGUGUUGGCUGCUGCAUUCAGAGUCCCCACUGAUAAACAAAAUAAUCCUAAUGCACCCUCACCUCAGGCACACUCCCACCCUCCUCCUUUCUCUUUCAACUGGACCAGCCCUCUGCCUGGAAGUCCCCGUGCUCCACUGCCUGUUCCACAAAGGGCUUGUCCCUGCGCGACCCCCACAGUCCACAGAACACCUGUCAGCAGGGCGUCUGUGCUCGCUGCUGACAUCACAAUGGUACGGCCGCCCCAGGCACCACCCUGAGUACUCUUAGGUCUUAGACUUCUGGUUUUUCAAGUAGUAUUCCAAGAACAGGUAUCCAGCCUUCGGAAAAAUAUGAUAUUUUUGUGUGGUCAAAUAUGUGGGCUCACUGAGAGAGCAGACGAAUCCGUUCUUUGGCUGAUCCUGUAUACAUGAAUAUUUGAGAAUUGUUACUUUAUACAGAGGGUCUGGCAACUCCCAAACUCUGCUAAAUUUAACGUUCAAGGGUUAGAAUGUUACAUUAAAAUCUUCCAAAGCUC